CGAGCCCGCCGGAACGGGGGGCGGGCGAGGGGACAGAAGGGAAGCCCGCCGGAGGGGGGAGGAUCCGAGGAAAUGGCAGCGGCUCAGGAUAUAGCACUUUCCUCGAGUCCAAAGUUUCCUGACUGCUUGGAAGUUCUGACAAUAUACUUCUUCCUGUGCCAAUUUGGAUAAUCCAAACUUUUUUACUUGAGCCAUCAAGGACAAUUAGAUGUUGCAAAAGAAAUCAAAUAACUUCCCUGUAUUGAGACAGUUAUAACAACAGCUACUGAAACACCUCGAAAUCCCAUAACCCUCAACCAAAGAAUGUGAAAUUUAAUGGAUAAAGCCAUCUGCCUUAGGAUUAGAAUGCUGAUCAAGCAGAUUGAGGGGGGCCCAUUCAAGCCUGUGGACGUUGCAACAACUGGUAUAUGGCUUUCCAAGGAGCCACAGGAUGUUUCACUAGACUGACUGCCAGCAUUUCCAUGGAAACCCCCAAAAAUAAAGACUUUCCCAGCCUUGUGAGAACACACCUGCAAGAACCAGAAUCACAUUUCGCCUUUGGCCUCUCAAAAGUGACACUCCUCCAUUUUGGUGUCACCUAAGGACAUUUGUUUUUACACUAGGAAUAUCUUUAGACCAUCUCCAUGCCAGUUAAGUGGAACCCCUGCCUAUACACUGCUUGCUGGGAUCAUAGGCAAAGCCAACACUUUCAAAGAUCAUACACCAUCAGUAAGGACAGAAGGCUAGAGAUCCAACCCCAAACUACCUCCUCUACAAAACAGAUGAACCAACACCAAAAAAGCUGCCACAUAAAAGAAAUGUUUUGGCCGACAAGGAGUGACUGCAAAACUUUCAGAUGUACAACCUCCAAGGCCACAAUCCUGGAUCUAUAUGCCAAACUCACCCCAGCCCUCCAGCUCAGGGACACCAGAAUGAGAGCUGCAUUGACAACAGAGAAUUGAGUGGUGACUGCACUGUGGAAACUUGUAUUUUGGAUUGAUUCUGGUCAGUGGGAAAACAUUCUGGAAGUGGAAAAUCCACUGUGGGGGCCAUUGAAAGUCUCCUGUUAUGCAGCACUGUGACUCUUGGCAAUGCAGGACAUAGUGGAUGGAGUUGCAGCAACGUGCUUCCUGAAGUGCAGUGGAGCAACAGGCAGCACACAUAUCCCUGUUUUGGCACUGGACCAGCCUGCCACAGAGAAUGUCAACAAAAAGGGUUACUUUUCUAUGAUUAUGCGAGCACUGGUGUGUCACCGGCAAUGCUUCACUCAUGUCAGUGUUGGCUAGUCAGGGAAGGUGCAGGAUGCUUGCAUCUUUAAGAACAUAGGAAUGCUCAGAAAGCUGCAAGCCAGGACUUCCUUUUCCAACCAGUGGAUUACCAUUGGCAAUGUUGAAAUGAUAGUAAUGAUC